AUAGUAGUCCGUCUUGCCUGCGGGUUAGGGUCCCAAGGAGAAAAAAUAGCGCAUCGUUAGCGGGGAGAAAAUCGAAGAACGCCGACCGCGGAAGCGGGGUGCUCGGGGGUCGGGGCGACGCGAUGACGCGGCCGGCGGUCACGCGACGAAGCGAGAAUCGAGCGACGCGCUCGACUCGAGCGAAUCGCGCGUCGAUACCCUCGCGCUCGGCCGUUCGCCGGGCCGGUCAUCGCGACAAACCCUCGAUCCCGCCGGCUCGGGGAACCGGGUGGACUGGGAGCGUGAACUCACCCAAGCGGCGACGCGCGAACUUCACCUGGAACCUCUUGAAGUAAGAGGUGGUCUUAAGGGUGGAGUUGGAGCGCUUCUUAGCCUUACGCUUACCCAUGGUGCCUUACUGCGUGACGUGCAGCGCGGCUGUAAAAGGGCUCGAUGGCUGCGGACAAGCCGGCUUUGAGUUAGGGCUUGCUUGAUUUUCCGGUCGACGCCCGAAUCCAUUUUUUCGCCCGAGAUUCUAUCUAGUGCCCAUACGUUUUAACAUUUUAAAACCGAAAUGCGG
rnacentral:lncRNA from 1 species